rnacentral:rRNA from 1 species
UACGGAGGGGGCCAGCGUUGUUCGGAAUCAUUGGGCGUAAAGGGCGCGUAGGCGGCCGAGCAAGUCGGACGUGAAAUCCCCCCGGCUCAACUGGGGAGCUGCAUCCGAAACUGCUUGGCUCGAGUCCUGGAGAGGGUAGUGGAAUUCCCAGUGUAGCGGUGAAAUGCGUAGAUACUGGGAGGAACACCGGUGGCGAAGGCGGCUACCUGGACAGGUACUGACGGCUGAGGCGCGAAAGCUAGGGGAGCAAAACGGGG